rnacentral:lncRNA from 1 species
AUGAGAUCACAGGGAUCGGGCUGGAGCUUGACAAGAGCGAUACAGGAAACAUACAAUCGAAGGCUAGCAAGAAGAAGCAAAAAGAUAGUAAAAGCUCAAGGGAUUCAUCACGAAGGCAAGUGCUCCAGCGGAAGCUAUCAAUUAAAAGGUCAGACCGAGUAGUGGUAGUUAACCGGGGGAGGGAGCGGCUCAUCCCGGCUCCGUCUUCGCCUCAGCCUUCUCCGCUCCCUGUUGGGUAUCUCCGAGGACUUGAGCUAAGGGAUUGUUUACUGAACGUCCCAUACUUGACCUAUCGCUCCAUUCGGUGA